CAGCCGCCGCGGGAAUACCGAGGGUGCGAGCGUUAAUCGGAUUUACUGGGCGUAAAGCGUGCGUAGGCGGCUUCUUAAGUCGGAUGUGAAAUCCCAGCUUAACUUAGGAAUUGCAUUCGAUACUGGGAAGCUAGAGUAUGGGAGAGGAUGGUAGAAUUCCAGGUGUAGCGGUGAAAUGCGUAGAGAUCUGGAGGAAUACCGAUGGCGAAGGCAGCCAUCUGGCCUAAUACUGACGCUGAGGUACGAAAGCAUGGGGAGCAAACAGGAUUAGAUACCCGCGUAGUCCCUGUCUCUUAUACAC
rnacentral:rRNA from 1 species